CAUAUUCUCUAAGGAGGAAAGCAGGGGAUCGCAAGACCUUGUGCUUUUGGAGCGGCCGAUGCCUGAUUAGCUAGUUGGUGGGGUAAAGGCCUACCAAGGCAACGAUCAGUAGUUGGUCUGAGAGGACGACCAGCCACACUGGGACUGAGACACGGCCCAGACUCCUACGGGAGGCAGCAGUGGGGAAUUUUGGACAAUGGCGAAGCCUGAUCCAGCAAUGCCGCGUGAGUGAAGAAGGCCUUCGGGUUGUAAAGCUCUUUCAGUCGAGAAGAAAAGGUUGUGACAAAUAAUCACAACUUAUGACGGUAUCGACAGAAGAAG
rnacentral:rRNA from 1 species